GACUGCCCACACAUGCUCACCCUUCCCUUGAUAUGUGCCCUGUUCCCCUCCCUCCCUUGCCCUCCUCCUUUUUUUUUGAGGCGUUUCUUUCCCCCCGUGUGAGGAUGUGAGAAAUGAGAGCACCUGGGGCAGUGAGCUGUUGGUGAAGGAGGAUUCAGUGCCACAAAAACACCAAACAACAAGGGAAGUGCUAAAUUAACCGCGCACAAACAUCAACGAGCAGGUGAUAGCAGUGAGGGUAAUGAAGGCCAGGAUUCCUCAGGCAGCACCUGGUGGGAAGUUAAAAGAACAAAUCCAGCUGUGAUGGUGGUCAGCCUUGGUUUGUGACUGUUAAGAAGGAGGAAAUAUGUGAAUUCAGCCCCACGUGCCUGCAAUUUGCUUGCAAACUUCAGCUGCACUGGUUGGUGAGUAGAAGACCUGCAGCUGGAAAGGAUCAAGGUCUGGGACAGGUCAGGGAGCCUGGGUGCAGGCACUGGACAGAGCUAGAGGCCUUACUGAUUUUCCAGGGAUCUGUGAAGCCAGGAAGUGUGUGAGCGAGAGCACACACAGUGAUGAGCCUCUCUAGAGCAUGUGCUCAGCCUUGCUACGGGCUGGACUCCAGCAGAAAAGGGCAGCCCCAUCCAUCUGCUAGGGGUGGAGAGACUGCCUGGGUCCCUGGGGAGGUGCCCCCAAUCUUCCAUCUAUAACGCAUGGAAGAGUAUUGAAGCUUUUAAGUAUGGGAGAGAAAAAAAAAAGAAAAAGAAAAAUGCACGAAAGCACCAAAGAGCAAAGAUUUUGUGUCCCAGCACUGAGAUAUGUAAAUGCACUGGCUGAACGGAGUACCCAAAAAAAUGGUUAUGCUUGUUCAAAGUUACACUGCACUUUUUUUGGUGCCAGCCUGGAACUCUCCUGCCAGCAGGCAUUCCCCUGCUUCUUGGAAGUGCGCUGGACUCCAAGAAAAUGCAAAGUCUCAACUUCAACAAGAAAGAAAACUUUUUAUUGAGAGCAGUGUAAGUCAUUACAAGGUGAGCACAGGCAGGCUGCUAAGAAGCAGCUCCCACACGUAAGUAACAGUCAGUGGAACGAGGGCAAUAUGAGAGAACAUGCAAAGAAAAUAAGGCAACGUGAUUCAAGCUGCUUUCAGACAGGCUCCCCCUCUUUUCUGAAGUGUGAGGCCCAGCGACAUCAACAGCUGUUGAGUUAAAGUCAUCUUUACUGAGUCUGAAGCCAGUCAAUCAUUUUCAGCAUCUUGAAACAAGGGAACUAUGUCUAAACAUUGAAAAGUUGAGGUUCCAGUGUCUUCAGGGCUGGAAUUGUCUGCUCAGGCACCAAAGUGAGUAUUAAAAUGUUCAUACUGUCAUUCUGUGUGGUAAUGAGCUGCCGUGACUGUAAAGCAAUCAUAUAACUGUAGCAUCACUUUCAGACAAUACUGUUGCACAAUGAAUUCACGUAAAGGCUGAAAACAUUGAAAUUCACCCAAGAACACAAAAAUACAGCCUUUAUUCCCUCCUUGUAGCUGAUGAAUUCAGAGAGGCUGCAACCCUGCCAUUUCCCUCUUAACUGUUGAAUACAAAGCCUAAGAAGUAGGUCUUGGAAAAGCUUGUUUUACCACCUUCUAGGAGCUUCAACAAGCACAGAAAACAUUCAUCCUUGCCUUGCACAAAGCCGUGGAGUGAAUUAGAAUGAGACCACUUACUCCUGUGGGUAGCUGGUUAAAUACUUGCUAAGAAGGAGCCCUGCCACCCGUUUGUUCAUUGCAAGCACUGCAGUGUGCCCUGCGGUGAGUACAAUGGAAGUACUUCCACAGAAUUACUUUUGCUUUGGAGUCUAAUUAACAAAAUGGCGCAUAUUCUUAUCUCCAGGCAAUAAAAUGGAGAAAUGUGUUUUCCUUUCUCUUUUUAAAGUUACUAAAAUUGAGUAUGGAGUUUCUGUAACAGCAUCCAGAAGCACAAGUUAUUUAUCUAGAUAAUCCACACGAACUGGAGCGUCACCCUGAAAAUGAAGCAGAGCUUCCUCGAUAGCCCCAUUCCGAUCCCUUUUUUUGCAACUUAAAGACCUUAAGCUAAGACACAAGUAAGCUGACAGCCUUCAAUAUGCUUGAAAGACCCGAGGUGACAGACAUUUCAGUUAAAGAUUUAUGAAAUAAGAUAAAUAUUGACACUUUUUUUUUAAUAGCUUUUUGACUAAAAGUGAUACAUCCAGCAUGACAGUAACAGAAGACUUGUUAGUGCUUGCGUAUCAACUUCACGCUCAGCAAGCAGAGCUGAAUACCAACUCCAUGCCAGGAAGAGUAACUCCAGCAAACAUCGUUACGCUAGAUUAAUGUUAUCUUGAGAUCACAGACACAUUUGGGCAAGAACCCCAUAGUUGCUUCUUUUUAAACAGAAAAUGAGCCCCUUUGACUUCACAGCCCCAGAUAAAAAUUAAGUAAUUGAAUAAAUGAAAGGGGUUGUAAGGAACCUUAAAUUUAGCAUGAACUGCCUUGAAAUAUGAAUACAAACUAGAUGUCAAAGGACAAUUAUAACCAAAACUGUCACUGUCAACACAAGAUCUUCUGGUUUAUAAUGAAGUGAGCGAACUCUCAAAUACAGCAUGAAGGCUGCCAAAGGGUAAACUGGUCUCCAGCACUAAUUACAAGGCUUUUCUUUCCUUUUGACUGCUAAUCUUUUAAAUAUGACAGGGAGAUUCAACCUUUCAGCACACACACUGUGCUUAAAAGUUUUGGUAAUAAAAUCUAGGCAGCUCGCUCUCUCGAUGCCAGAAGAAUCUGCCAACUCCUACAAAAAUCAGCAUUUCCGAAGCAGGUGAGGCUGUUUAUUUGUCUGACUUAAAAUUGGCUGACUAGGGGCCUUGCAAACUUGGGAUGAGGAGGAAAACAAAAAAAAAAACCAAGCACUUACAGACAAAGCCUGACCAAUUGGUGUUAACAAAGACAACGACCAGAAACAAACCUGGUGGGUUUCACUCAUUGAUAAGGAAAGAAGUGGCAUGUGGGAAUGUUCAUUCCAGCGGGGUUAUCUGAUUGAGGACUUCCAAAUUACAAAACAAACACCAGAAACAAACCUGCUCAGUCCCAGUGAUUGCUAAGUGUGAGAAUGUUUAUUCUAGCAGGGCUGGCUGAUAAACGGCUUCUAAAUUGGGAUGCAAAAGG